ACUAUCUAGCACAUUACCGAGCCUGCAAAUGAGCAAACACAUUGAAGAUGUCAGCUCUUUUGUUGCAACUGCAAUGAAUUUAAGCAAAUUACUACUAUGUCAUGAUCAUAUUGAGAUUAGGUGUUCACCAGAAAGCGCUUCUUGAAUGCUUCAACAUUCUCUUUAGGAUCUAUUUUCGUCUGCUUGUAAGCCUCAAUCUUGUUUAUCUCCUGCACACAGAUUUUGUGAAAAGGAAAGUUAUGGAUUAGCAAUUAAACUUCAGGCCCAAUAACCAUCACCAGUUUAUUUCCCAAAUCCUUGUUCAAGAUAAAAAUAAAGGAAUACUUUCAGUUUUAGCUCUAACAAUAAGUUGCGCAAUAGCAAAUGAUUGUUCAAAAGCUUAAGAGUUAGACUUGAUUAAACUCAGAUAAGACAAUGGGCCAAAAUACUUAGUUAUGAGUAAAGGGUGUCUUGAACCAGAGAAGGUGGAUGAUUAUGUGCGCAUGUGAGGGGGAAGCUUGCCAAGGAAGAGGAAAUGUAAGAGCGAAAGAAUUAGAACACUAGAAGAAGAUCUCAAAAUAUAAUUAUUCUAAUAGCGAAUGAAUACUUUUUAAACAGAGUAUCUUAAGCAGGAAUAGAAAGGCCGAGUUACCAAGGAACAGAAAUAAAUCAAUCAUACCUCAAUCCAAGCUUCAAGUUUAG
rnacentral:misc_RNA from 1 species